ACGCUCGACACCUACGGGAGGCCAGCAGUGGGGAAUAUUGCACAAUGGAGGAAACUCUGAUGCAGCGAUGCCGCGUGAGGGAAGAAGGUUUUCGGAUUGUAAACCUCUGUCUUUGGGGACGAUAAUGACGGUACCCAAGGAGGAAGCUCCGGCUAACUACGUGUCAGCAGCCGCGGUAAUCUGAGCGGGCUGGCAAGGC
rnacentral:rRNA from 1 species